UGCAUGAAGAUAGGUGACUCAAAGACAUC
rnacentral:piRNA from 1 species